GGGUGCGAUUAUACCAGUGUUAGUGCACCGGAUCCCAUCAGAACUCCGCAGUUAAGCGCGCUUGUUCCGGAGUAGUACGAGGGAUCCAGAUCUCCCAGUCUUCCCCGGUGUUGGACCCUG
rnacentral:rRNA from 1 species